rnacentral:misc_RNA from 1 species
UUAAAUUUUCUAUAAUUAAAACAUAUCAAAUGAUCAUUGCCAAAUAAAACAAACAAUCAAAGUUGGUAUCUUUCCUUUUAUUUAUUAAUUUAGUUGUUGAAGAAAUAAAUUGUAAAAAAGAAUGGCUGGUCCUGGAGCUCUGAACAGUGAAUGAGGUUUGUAUAAGUAUCCUAAUCCAAGCAUGAAGAUAGACCAGCAAUGGUUGAAUGGUUGAUAAAGAAAUGAAAAGGGCAGCGAUG